CUCUCACACCCCUCCCUCUCUGGGUGUUCCCUGUUUAAAGUUUACUUUCACUUUCUCUGAAGGAGUGUGGCAGUUGGUUUUCUCCGUCUCAACCUCCAGCUGAAGGUAAUGGAACAAGUGUUUAAUGUUUUCCUCAUUAACACAAGCUGUCGUUAGUUUAUCUCCACUAGAAACAGCAAUAUAGGGGUUAAAGGUGAAAUCAAUAAAAGUGUAACUGCGUCAGUAAAUGAGCAGGAACUGGUACUGCUACUUUAUCUGCACUCAGAUCUGAUCAAUAAUCAAAUCAAAGAGAUUUCCUUUCAAUUAAUAAUUUUAAUAUUUUCUGGAAGCUCUUUGUUGAGACGCACUGAGCACAAUGAGGCGGGGCAGACAGACAUUUCCUUAAGAGGAGACAGUCUGAAAUGCAGAUGUUUUUUACCAGUUGAAACCUGACACCAGCUCCUGUUUCAUUCAGUUCACUGAUAUAUCCCUGAAUGCAACAGUGACAUGGCUUCAUAGUACAUUUACUCCAGUAGACUUCUGUCCUUCAGUACAACUUUGAAGUAUUUGUACUCGAGUAUUGCUGCUACUUUCUAAGUCUGAGAGGAGCUCAGUCACUCAGAGAGAAAGAUUGUAAUUCUCAGUGCAUGUAUCUGACAGCUUUAGUUCCUAGUUACUGUACAGAUUUAAUAAACCAAACAUCUGACUGUCUGUAAAAUAUCAUUAAACUGUAAUAUAAUGUAAUAUGAUGUAUAUAUAACAAUCAGGAUNNNNNNNNNNNNNNNNNNNNNNNNNNNNNNNNNNNNNNNNNNNNNNNNNNNNNNNNNNNNNNNNNNNNNNNNNNNNNNNNNNNNNNNNNNNNNNNNNNNNUGUCUCCAGUGUCCAGCUGUCUGUCUAUGAAGAGUGAUCAGUCCAAAACAUGAUCCUCCAUACUUCAGUAAUGAACCUGGACCCUCAGACACAAAAGAGAGGAAGAGGAGUCAUGUUUCUGUGGAGGAGCAGCUGUCCUGCUGUGUUUUGUGUCAGGACGUCCUGAAGGAUCCAGUCUCUACCAGCUGUGGACACUGGUUCUGCAGACAGUGCAUCACCUCAUACUGGGACCAGUCUGCUUCAUCAGGAGACUCCUCCUGUCCCCAGUGUGGAGAAAGAUCCAGAACAAGAGCUGGACUGCAGACAGCCAGUCAGACCAGCACUGUACAAAGUAAGACUGUACAUCUUAAAAAUCUAAUCUGCUACAUUUCAUUAAAUUAAGUUUAUUUAGAGACUAACAAUAAGUUCAUUCAACCAUGUGGAUACAACACAAAAACUGCAUGUAUCAUGUAACUUCAUCAACUUCAUCAAAUAAGCUGAACAUCUUCAACUGCUACUUGUCCUGGAUGUAAGAUGAGUCUGAACCAUUGGCAGCACAGUAGGCAUGAACCAGUGACUAUAAAAUGGAUUUGAUCAGCCACCAGUAGCCAGUGCAGGGUGUGGAGGAGCAGUGUAGUGUGGGAGAGCUUCAGUAGGUUGAAGACCAGCUGAGCUGCUGCAUUCUGGAUGAGCUGCAGAGGUCAGAUGGCACAUGCAGGCAGACAGGAGUGAGUUGCAGUAGUUUAGGCACGAGAUGACAAGAUCCUCCUGCAUGAGGAACAGACUCUGAGCUAAAAUUAUCACUCAGAAACAGUGUGUAAUAAUGUACAUAACCACACAGUGAGUAACACUAAAAUCCAUAUUAUGCUAACUUACAUGUGGCACAGAGGUUUUUGUGACAUGAGUGAAAAUCUGGUUCCCGGUGUCACAGUUCAAAAAGACACAGCUACAUGAGUGACUGACUGACCGAGCGGUCAUUAACAGGCCGACCUGAGAUGGUCUCCUCCCUCAAACCAAAACCACCUCUGUGUGGAGACACUUGACGACAACUACGCUCAUCAGUCAGUGCAAUAAAAGCGUUGCUAGUAAAAAUCCAACACUUUAUCAAUGCACUGUUCAACAAGUAAAACCAUAUAAACUGUGGAGAAGUGAUAUCUGCUCUGUCCGCUUUCUCUCAUCCACCUCCUCUAUGUUUUACACAAGCACAGCGCUGAGCUCAGCUAAUAGUGAAUUGCUACCAAAAUAAAAGCUGUCUGUUUAGUUUAGUUUGCCAUGUAUCUUAAAAUCUGGCAAAUUCUUGUUUUCAACUGAGCUGCUGGCUGAGACAAACCAGGUGUGUCUUUAUCACAAGUCAUAUCCUCGUCACAAUAUUGAAACAGUGUUAUUGUUAGUUAGAUAGUUUAAAUAAUGAGCUGCUGACACUCAGCCUGUUGCCGCUGCUGUCAAUCAAACACACACACCAACACACAGUCAGAGAAAAAAUUACAUUUUCUGAUGUUCCCUCAAAACUGGACUUUAUAAAGUUUACUGUUUAUAUUUCUAUAUUCAUCUUUAUAUUGUUAUUGAAAAUAAUCAGCAGAUUGUCAAAUCUUCUUUGUUUUGACUCAAACUCUUUUAUCUUUAUUAGUGAGUGGUGGUCUGCAGGAGGUUUUAGAUGAACAUAAGAUCAGUCAGAAGAUGAGAUGUAAACAUGUGACUGAAGGAACUGAUGAAACAGGAAGUGGAACCCUCCUCAACAGGAUCUAUACUGAGCUCUACAUCACAG
rnacentral:lncRNA from 15 species